rnacentral:SRP_RNA from 1 species
GCUGCGUGUGGUGGCACAUACCUGUAGUUCCAGCUACUCGGGAGGCUGAGGCAGGAGGAUUGCUUGAGCCCAGGAGUCCUGGGCUAUAGUGCACUAUGUCAGUCUGAUGUCCGCAUAAAGUUUGGCAUCAGUAUGGUGACCUUGAUUUCCCCGGAGCAAGGGACCACGAGGUUGUCUUAAGGAGGAGUGAACUAGCCCAGGUUGAAAACAGAGUAGGUCAGUACUCUGGUGCUGCUUAGUAGCAGGAUCACACCUGGGAAUAGCCACUGCAGUCUAGCCUGGGCAACAUAGCUAGACCCCGUCUUA